rnacentral:rRNA from 1 species
GUGGAUUAGAUACCCGAGUAGUCCACGCCGUAAACGAUGAUCACUCGCUGUUGGCGAUACACAGUCAGCGGCUAAGCAAAAGCAUUAAGUGAUCCACCUGGGGAGUACGGCCGCAAGGCUGAAACUCAAAGGAAUUGACGGGGGCCCGCACAAGCGGAGGAACAUGUGGUUUAAUUCGAUGAUACGCGAGGAACCUUACCUGGGCUUAAAUGUAGAGUGCAUUCCCGAGAAAUCGGGAUUUCCUUCGGGACUCUUUGCAAGGUGCUGCACGGCCGUCGACAGCU